UCAUAUACAAAUAGAGAAGGAAAGGAAAGAGAAAACUGUACACCCAAAUUAUGGAGCACAAUUCCGCCUCAAACCCAUCCAAUAAACAAAUCUUGGAUCCGGCAUACUCCUGAUUCCCAUCGGCGAAAUUUCUGCAUCCGUUAAACUGGUACGACAUCAAGCUUCAAAGUGUCUUUGCACCCUAACACAAUCCCAUCGAGCAAUCCUGUUGGCCAAUUACUGCAUCUCUUAAACAGGUACGACAUCAAGCUUUGAAGUGUCUUCACACCUUAACACAAUCCCAUUAAGACUCACUGGGAGAAAGCAAUUGGUCCAUUGGCAACCUGUUGAAACUGGCUCAGAUGGAGGAAUGAUCAUAAUUAC
rnacentral:lncRNA from 1 species